GACGGACGCUGGCGGCGUGCUUAACACAUGCAAGUCGAACGGAAAGGCCCUGCUUUUGUGGGGUGCUCGAGUGGCGAACGGGUGAGUAACACGUGAGUAACCUGCCCUUGACUUUGGGAUAACUUCAGGAAACUGGGGCUAAUACCGGAUAGGAGCUCCUGCUGCAUGGUGGGGGUUGGAAAGUUUCGGCGGUUGGGGAUGGACUCGCGGCUUAUCAGCUUGUUGGUGGGGUAGUGGCUUACCAAGGCUUUGACGGGUAGCCGGCCUGAGAGGGUGACCGGCCACAUUGGGACUGAGAUACGGCCCAGACGCCUACGGGAGGCAGCAGUGGGGAAUAUUGCACAAUGGGCGGAAGCCUGAUGCAGCAACGCCGCGUGCGGGAUGACGGCCUUCGGGUUGUAAACCGCUUUCGCCUGUGACGAAGCGUGAGUGACGGUAUGGGUAAAGAAGCACCGGCUAACUACGUG
rnacentral:rRNA from 1 species